rnacentral:lncRNA from 1 species
UGCGGCUUGCUGAGGACUUUUUACUGAGCCUUUUCUGCUCUCACAGCUCUCUGUACUUAUUAGCAGCAGCUAAUAAUUAUUUACAUUAUCUUGUUGAAUUGCUAACACUAUCCUCAGGUUUUCAUGUGCAUUUCACAGGCAAAAAUGAAGCAACUGAGACUUAGAUGGAUUUGCCCAAAGUGACCUAACUACCAAGUAGUCAGAUCAAACCCAAACUUUUAACCUCCACGCUAGACUGCGCCUCCUCAUGUGUCACAGUGCAGUGCUCCUUAACAAACGCCUUCCGCUGCUCACUCGAGUUCAGAGAGUUCUUCCACGGUCAGCUCCUCCUUAUGGUCCUCAAGGAGCACUUCUGUGUCUGCACCAUCGACGUCUAGGCCGUACUUUUGCCAACGGACACCCCCCCACACACUACCUGUGCUUCAGACCCUUCAAAGUCACCUUCAGUGACACGUUCCGGCCA